rnacentral:rRNA from 1 species
AUUGAACGCUGGCGGCAUGCCUUACACAUGCAAGUCGAACGGCAGCACGGGUGCUUGCACCUGGUGGCGAGUGGCGAACGGGUGAGUAAUAUAUCGGAACGUACCUUAUUGUGGGGGAUAACGCAGCGAAAGCUGUGCUAAUACCGCAUAAUCCCUAAGGGGGAAAGCGGGGGACCGUAAGGCCUCGCGCAAUUAGAGCGGCCGAUACCUGAUUAGCUAGUUGGUAAGGUAAAGGCUCACCAAGGCAACGAUCAGUAGCUGGUCUGAGAGGACGAUCAGCCACACUGGGACUGAGACACGGCCCAGACUCCUACGGGAGGAAGCAGUGGGGAAUUUUGGACAAUGGGGGCAACCCUGAUCCAGCAAUGCCGCGUGAGUGAAGAAGGCCUUCGGGUUGUAAAGCUCUUUUGUCAGGGAAGAAACAGCAGCUCUAACACAGUUUGCGAAUGACGGUACCUGAAGAAUAAGCACCGGCUAACUACGUGCCAGCCGCCGCAGUAA